rnacentral:rRNA from 1 species
AUGCAGGCGCAGCUUAACAUGCAAGUCGAACGGUAACAGGGAGCUUGCUCCGCUGACGAGUGGCGAACGGGUGAGUAAUACAUCGGAACGUGCCCAGUAAUGGGGGAUAGCUCGGCGAAAGCCGGAUUAAUACCGCAUACGCCCUGAGGGGGAAAGUGGGGGACCGCAAGGCCUCACGUUAUUGGAGCGGCCGAUGGCUGAUUAGCUAGUUGGUAGGGUAAAGGCCUACCAAGGCGACGAUCAGUAGCUGGUCUGAGAGGACGAUCAGCCACACUGGGACUGAGACACGGCCCAGACUCCUACGGGAGGCAGCAGUGGGGAAUUUUGGACAAUGGGGGAAACCCUGAUCCAGCAAUGCCGCGUGUGCGAAGAAGGCCUUCGGGUUGUAAAGCACUUUUGUCAGGGAAGAAAUCCUUUGGGCUAAUACCCUAGGGGGAUGACGGUACCUGAAGAAUAAGCACCGGCUAACUACGUGCCAGCAGCCGCGGUAAUACGUAGGGUGCAAGCGUUAAUCGGAAUUACUGGGCGUAAAGCGUGCGCAGGCGGUUGUGUAAGACAGGUGUGAAAUCCCCGGGCUUAACCUGGGAAUUGCAUUUGUGACUGCACGACU